rnacentral:lncRNA from 10 species
AGCUGGCAGUCUCCAGGGGAGCUUACGCCUUUGGGUACUCAACAGUCUCUACACUCUUCUCCCCAAACAGAAAAAGUGGUCCUGUUCUUCCCAUGGACACUAUCCCCAGAGUUUUAUUUUGGACUUCCAGAUUCGAGCAAGUCUAGAAAUGUUUAUUGGUGGUGAAUGUCCCAUAAACACCAAGAAUCCUCAGCUUCUGAAGACCCCAGUACACAAGGGUGCAAUUGGAACUGAGAAUCCACAAUGGCAACUUCCAAUGAAGAAAAGAAAAAUGGGGAGGAUGCAGCAGGCACUGUUCCAGUGCAAUUAACCAAGGCCAGUGGGAAGGAAAGUAAGACUCCUCUGUCCUGGCAGUGGAGGAAGGCUGUUAACUAGCCAGUCUAGAAGCCGUGGUUCUCCUGUUUCAAGGUCAUAUGCUGUUCUUGGCUCCAGGUUUCUCCUUCUUGCGUUUUCUCUUUGUUCCUUAUUUUCUAUGGCCACAACUUAGUCGGGCAUUAAAGGGUAUACUUUUCUUAGGAACUGGAAAGCAUUUAUAGGAGUCAAGAAUGCAAAUGAACUAAGUAAACUUCUCUGUUUUGGAAAUGUUGGAAAUGUAAAUAACUUUAGGGGAAACAGGAGGGAAAGGGAGAAGCGGUGGAGUGAGUGAGGACGCUGAUAACAGGACUGCCUCAUAUUCGUGUAGAGUUCUGUCUUUUGCCAGUGCAUCCGGAAAGUAUGUUCCGCACCGAAGGACCAUUUCUGAGUGGUCAUUUCCUGUAAGCAAA